AUUACAAGUGGACACCUGAGUCAGCAGGACCUGGAAUCCCAGAUGAGAGAGCUUAUCUACACGACUCAGAUCUUGGUUAAAUUUGAUGCAAAAAUAUUGCAUCUACCAGCAUUUUCAGUUAUAAUUUCUGAAAGACCAAGAUUGGAAUGACUUUUUGUAACAAGUGUGCUCGCAGAUCGACUCCAGUGAGAAGAGCUCGGGGACCUCCUGAGCCAAGCUUAAUCUCCUUUGCUGUUUGUGAGUGGUGGCUGGUCACCAGGAGGUGGCCACCAGGCUCCUCCUUUCCCCGCUGUUCCAAUUGCUAAUCCAGCAUUUGUGGAUAGCUGCAAACUGCGAUAUAUGGGCCAAGGUUGCUCGGGUGAUUGGUUUACUGGCUUCGCACAAAACUGAUCUCCAGGAAAAUACACCUGUUGUUGAGGUAAUGUCUUUUAUGACUGAAA
rnacentral:lncRNA from 1 species